rnacentral:rRNA from 1 species
UGGGGAAUAUUGCACAAUGGGCGAAAGCCUGAUGCAGCAACGCCGCGUGAGUGAUGAAGGCCUUCGGGUUGUAAAGCUCUGUCUUUUGGGACGAUAAUGACGGUACCAAAGGAGGAAGCCACGGCUAACUACGUGCCAGCAGCCGCGGUAAUACGUAGGUGGCAAGCGUUGUCCGGAUUUACUGGGCGUAAAGGAUGCGUAGGCGGAUUUUUAAGCGAGAUGUGAAAUACCCGGGCUUAACUUGGGUGCUGCAUUUCAAACUGGGAAUCUAGAGUGCGGGAGAGGAGAAUGGAAUUCCUAGUGUAGCGGUGAAAUGCGUAGAGAUUAGGAAGAACACCAGUGGCGAAGGCGAUUCUCUGGACCGUAACUGACGCUGAGGCAUGAAAGCGUGGGUAGCAAACAGGAUUAGAUACCCUGGUAGUCCACGCCGUAAACGAUGAGUACUAGGUGUAGGAGGUAUCGACCCCUUCUGUGCCGCAGUUAACACAAUAAGUACUCCGCCUGGGAAGUACGAUCGCAAGAUUAAAACUUAAAUGAAUUGAC